ensembl:snRNA U6 U6 spliceosomal RNA
UUGCUGGCUUCAGCAGCAUAUAUACUAAAAUCGGAACGAUACAGAGAAGAUGAGCAUGGCCCCUGCGCAAGGAUGACAUGCAGAGUCGUGAAGUGUUCCAUAUUUUU